UUUUUUAAAUAUAACCUGGUUUAUUGGGCUCCCGGCGUAUUCUUGCGUUCCUUCUGCACUGGGACAAGACACCACUGCACUAUUGGACUACGGCAAGCUGGUACCGUCCGGUGGAGCUUCAUACAGGAACUACUGCCUUACCUGCUGGUGUCACAACGUUGGAUGAACGCACAAAAAGCGCGGAACGAGCUUUUAUAUAGAGAAAAAUAAAUAUUUCCUCAUUGCACAAAA